rnacentral:rRNA from 1 species
GACGAACGCUGGCGGCGUGCCUAAUACAUACAAGUCGAGCGCACGAAAUCGACGGAACCCUUCGGGGGGAAGUCGACGGAAUGAGCGGCGGACGGGUGAGUAACACGUAAAGAACCUGCCCUCAGGUCUGGGAUAACCACGAGAAAUCGGGGCUAAUACCGGAUGGGUCAUCGGACCGCAUGGUCCGAGGAUGAAAGGCGCUUCGGCGUCGCCUGGGGAUGGCUUUGCGGUGCAUUAGCUAGUUGGUGGGGUAAUGGCCCACCAAGGCGACGAUGGAAAGCAGACCGGAGGGGGUGAUCGGCCACACUGGGACUGAGACACGGCCCAGACUCCUACGGGAGGCAGCAGUAGGGAAUCUUCCACAAUGGACGAAAGUCUGAUGGGGCAACGCCGCGUGAACGAUGAAGGCCUUCGGGUCGUAAAGUUCUGUUGUAAGGGAAGAACAAGUGCCGCAGGCAAUGGCGGCACCUUGACGGUACCUUGCGAGAAAGCCACGGCUAACUACGUGCCAGCCGCCGCCGUAA